UCCGGAGUAGCUCAAUGGUAGAGCAACUGGCUGUUAACCAGUAGGUUGUCGGUUCGAGCCCGACCUCCGGAGCCA
rnacentral:tRNA from 1 species